ACGCUGGCGGCAGGCUUAACACAUGCAAGUCGAAGGUGAUCCAGNACUUCGGUUUUGGUGAAACUGGCGCACGGGUGAGUAACGCGUGGGAAUCUACCCCGGGGUGGGGAAUAACCACUGGAAACGGUGGCUAAUACCGCAUACGCCUUGAGAGGGAAAGCUUUAGCGCCCUGGGAUGAGCCCGCGUCGGAUUAGGUUGUUGGUGGGGUAAUGGCCUACCAAGCCGUCGAUCCGUAGCUGGUCUGAGAGGAUGAUCAGCCACACUGGGACUGAGACACGGCCCAGACUCCUACGGGAGGCAGCAGUGGGGAAUAUUGGACAAUGGGGGCAACCCUGAUCCAGCCAUGCCGCGUGCGUGAAGAAAGCCUUAAGGUUGUAAAGCGCUUUCGGCGGGGAAGAUGAUGACGGUACCCGCAUAAGAAGCCCCGGCUAACUCCGUGCCAGCAGCCGCGGU
rnacentral:rRNA from 1 species